CCCUUAGAUGUUCUGGGCUGCACGCGCGCUACACUGGUGCACUCAACAAGUUUACAACCUUGAUCGAUAGGUCUGGGUAAUCUUUUGAAUAUGCACCGUGCUAGGGAUAGAUUAUUGCAAUUAUUCAUCUUCAACGAGGAAUUCCUAGUAAACGCAAGUCAUCAGCUUGCAUUGAUUACGUCCCUGCCCUUUGUACACACCGCCCGUCGCACCUACCGAUUGAAUGGUCCGGUGAAAUUCUCGGACGCGGACUUGCGAUGUUAAUUCGGAGCUUGACUGUGAAAGUUAAUUAAACCUUACCAUUUAGAGGAAGGUGAAGUCGUANCA
rnacentral:rRNA from 1 species